rnacentral:rRNA from 1 species
CCUACGGGAGGCAGCAGUAAGGAAUAUUGGUCAAUGGACGGAAGUCUGAACCAGCCAUGCCGCGUGCAGGAUGACGGCCCUCUGGGUUGUAAACUGCUUUUAUAGGGGACGAAAAAAGGGGAUUCUUCCUCACUUGACGGUACCCUAGGAAUAAGCACCGGCUAACUCCGUGCCAGCAGCCGCGGUAAUACGGAGGGUGCAAGCGUUAUCCGGAUUUACUGGGUUUAAAGGGUGCGUAGGUGGGUCGGUAAGUCAGCGGUGAAAUCUUCGAGCUUAACUCGGAAACUGCCAUUGAUACUAUCGAUCUUGAAUCGUCUAGAGGUAAGCGGAAUAUGUCAUGUAGCGGUGAAAUGCUUAGAUAUGACAUAGAACACCAAUUGCGAAGGCAGCUUACUAUGGAUGUAUUGACACUGAGGCACGAAAGCGUGGGGAUCAAACAGGAUUAGAUACCCUGGUAGUCCACGCCCUAAACGAUGGAUACUCGACAUUUGAGAUAUACUUUAAGUGUCUGAGNGAGANAUAUAUCCACCUGAGAGANGNAGAUAGAAGUAAUAGAGUAGAGNGNGAGAGNGCGAGACGACACGAGGAGGAGG